CUCAAAGGAAUUGACGGGGACCCGCACAAGUAGCGGAGCAUGUGGUUUAAUUCGAAGCAACGCGAAGAACCUUACCUAAGCUUGACAUCCCAAUGACAUCUCCUUAAUCGGAGAGUUCCCUUCGGGGACAUUGGUGACAGGUGGUGCAUGGUUGUCGUCAGCUCGUGUCGUGAGAUGUUGGGUUAAGUCCCGCAACGAGCGCAACCCUUGUCUUUAGUUGCCAUCAUUAAGUUGGGCACUCUAGAGAGACUGCCAGGGAUAACCUGGAGGAAGGUGGGGAUGACGUCAAAUCAUCAUGCCCCUUAUGCUUAGGGCUACACACGUGCUACAAUGGGUAGUACAGAGGGUUGCCAAGCCGUAAGGUGGAGCUAAUCCCUUAAAGCUACUCUCAGUUCGGAUUGUAGGCUGAAACUCGCCUACAUGAAGCUGGAGUUACUAGUAAUCGCAGAUCAGAAUGCUGCGGUGAAUGCGUUCCCGGGUCUUGUACACACCGCCCGUCACACCACGGGAGUUGGAGACGCCCGAAGCCGAUUAUCUAACCUUUUGGAAGAAGUCGUCGAAGGUGGAAUCAAUAACUGGGGUGAAGUCGUAACAAGGUAGCCGUAUCGGAAGGUGCGGCUG
rnacentral:rRNA from 1 species